GCGAGGAAAACGGAGGGCUAACAAAGCAAUCUAAAUAACGUGUUGCAGAAGGACGGACGAAAGAGCGAGAAAACCGGAGGGAUGAACGGUUAGUCCACGUGGGUGGGUCCAAUGGUACAGAAGUCAACAAAAACAACAAUAAAUAAUUCCAAAUAACGCGUUGCAGACGGAGAGAAGAAAGGGCGAGAGAAUUUUCAAUAUGAAAAUGGGGCAGAAGUCAACAAUAAACAACAAUAAAAAUUUCUCCAGCAAGAAAACAGAAAGGAGUCGCACAUGGGGCGGGUCCCACGGCACAGACUCAACAAAAACAAAUAAUAAAAUAAUUCAAAUAAAAGAGCAUCCUCUGGACAAAUAAAUAAAGAAAAAGUAAAAUCAGCAAAGACGACAAAACGCCGACACACAUAGACUUGACGGAGCACCAAAUGUAGAAACUAUAAAAACCAAAAUGUCCCAAAUGCUCUUCUCCUCUCCGUGAGAAAACCCCAGCGUCGUCCCGAGCAAAAGGCUAGAACCUUGUCUCUUUUCAGCUUUUCUGCUGCUUCGAAGCCCAAAGUUCAGGUUCAAUCCUCUGCCAAAAUCUCGAACCCGAAACAGGGGAAAGACUCAACAGCCAGCCACGGAGCAAGACUGAAAAGACCAUUUAAGGCAAUCAUCUCAAUUUUGUAGGACUAGGAUGUGUUUGGACAGUUCUAGAAUUCUAUGCUUUAUGCAGAAUUUAAUCAAUACUGCCAAACAUAAAAAAAGAUGUGAUUAAAAGAAACAAGUACGUAAUCUUUUGAACA